rnacentral:lncRNA from 1 species
CCCAAUGGACGUAGUCCACUAAGCCCAAGCAAGCCUAUUAAUCUGACAUGUUCAUCAUUCCAUCAUAAACUACUAAGUCAUCUAUCAUAACUUAGAAUCAAAAUAAUAUUAAGCAUUGCCAAUUCAUACUGGCAUACCAAAAAGGUGUAUAUACAUUGUCUACACAUGUAUCUUAAUAAUUCACAUUAGUUUCGUCUAUACACAACAAAAGGAGACUCGAUGUCCAGCGGAGAGACUCGGACGAAUGUACAGCUACUGAAUGUCGAGACACCUACCAAAAGAUGGAUACAAGUCCACGAGGACACCUCGUCCUAGUUACCGACUGUUUGUUAAUCUGAAAACAUGAAGUUGAAAGCGGUGAGCAUAAACUCAGUGAGUGAACAAGAAGGGAACAAGCAUACCAUAAGGAAUGUUUAUCGAAAUCAUAAUGCACUCAUUUUCUCAAAAUAAUGCAAUUUGUUUUAGUUCUUAGUAGAACCCCUCAUGAGUAAAUCACUUAAAAGAUCCAUACUCAACUAUGGUACCAAAGAAUUAAAAAAUAUCGCAAAACCUACAAGUUAGCCAAAAUAGACAGAAAGUUUCUCGCUGUAGCGAACUUCAUUCUCGCUGCAGCGAGAACCAGGUCAAGUAAAGGCCCUCAAACCUAAGAGUUUCUCACUACAGCAAGAGUCAGAACAUCAAGGAAAAAGUCUCAUUUUUCUUUAAAACAAGCCAUCCUGCUAAAAUAACAAUAGCAACAUGUAACACAUGUAAACUCCCAAUUUCAACAAAUCAAAUGCUCACAUAUUUGCAUUUACAACCAUAUACCAUAUAUGUAUAUAUAUAUCAAUCAUCAUGUACACCCUCCCAUCAUCAUCAUCUCAUAUGCAAUGGAUUAUGUGCACUCCCACUCGCACAUAACCGAGUCAGCAACAGCUUAUGUGCACUCCUACUCGCACAUAGCCGGGUCAGCAAUGGCUUAUGUGCACUCCUACUCGCACAUAGCCGGGUCCACAUCAACAUGCAAAGAAACAUCCAAUGCAUAUCAUGCAUUUUAUCAUAUUAUGAUAACACAUAAACCAUUGUAUAGUACAUUUUCACAAUAUAAAAUCAUUUUACUAAAAGCUUGUUCCCAAGGUACAUUUUCUAAGACAAGUUCGAUAGAAUCUUUCAUAUUCCCCAAAACAAGUUUGAAAUGCAAGUCCACUCAUCGGUAUUCGUUGAGCCUUUAGCCGAUUCUUAAUUCCCCUAAUGAUCCAAUUGGGGUGAUGGGUCUUCGUUAGCACCUACUAUCAAAUUAACAUUUCCAUAAUGUCAAUUUACAUACUAUAAACCCUAAAAGCUAUCUUUUAGCUAGCUUUCAAUUGCCAUUUAAAUGGCCAUCCAUUUUCACUUUCCUAUCACUCCAAAGUGAAUUAACAAUCUCAACUACAAAAUAUUCACAAAUCAAAUCUCUAGUCAUUCUCAACACUUAAAACCCAAUACUAGUUUACUACUCACCUUGAUAGCUUUGUAACUUUGAACUUCUUUCCAAAAGCUCUCAAGCUAUUAAUAAAGCUUCCUCUUUCUCUCUCUAAAACACCUAACUAG